rnacentral:rRNA from 1 species
GACGAACGCUGGCGGCGUGCUUAACACAUGCAAGUCGAGCGGAAAGGCCCUUCGGGGUACUCGAGCGGCGAACGGGUGAGUAACACGUGAGUAACCUGCCCCAGACUUUGGGAUAACCCUCGGAAACGGGGGCUAAUACCGGAUACGACACAGCUUUGCAUGGGGUCUGUGUGGAAAGUUUUUCGGUGUGGGAUGGGCUCGCGGCCUAUCAGCUUGUUGGUGGGGUGAUGGCCUACCAAGGCGACGACGGGUAGCCGGCCUGAGAGGGCGACCGGCCACACUGGGACUGAGACACGGCCCAGACUCCUACGGGAGGCAGCAGUGGGGAAUAUUGCACAAUGGGCGGAAGCCUGAUGCAGCGACGCCGCGUGAGGGAUGACGGCCUUCGGGUUGUAAACCUCUUUCAGCAGGGACGAAGCGUAAGUGACGGUACCUGCAGAAGAAGCGCCGGCCAACUACGUG